CAGGCCUAACACAUGCAAGUCGAACGGGGUUAUUUCCGGAAGUCGGCUUCGGCCGACAACUGGUUUAACUUAGUGGCGCACGGGUGAGUAACACGUGGGUAACCUACCCUCGGGAGGGGGACAACUUCGGGAAACCGAAGCUAAUACCGCAUAAGACCACGGACUGAAAUGUCUGAGGUAAAAGUGGUAACACGCCCGAGGAUGGGCCCGCGUCCUAUCAGGUUGUUGGUAGGGUAACGGCCUACCAAGCCCAAGACGGGUAGCCGGUCUGAGAGGAUGGACGGCCACACUGGAACUGAGACACGGUCCAGACUCCUACGGGAGGCAGCAGUGAGGAAUUUUGCGCAAUGGGCGAAAGCCUGACGCAGCGACGCCGCGUGAAGGACGAAGGCCUUCGGGUUGUAAACUUCUUUUCUCAGGGAAGAUAAUGACGGUACCUGAGGAAUAAGCCACGGCUAACUCUGUGCCAGCAGCCGCGGUAAU
rnacentral:rRNA from 1 species